CUAUGUUCAAAUUCCCUUUCCGCUUCCCUUCAUUGAAUGGGGCUCAUUCUUUUCAUUGCACAAAACAUUCACAAGAUCACAGCCAGUUGAGACUGAAAAGCCCUAUACGGAUCAACCAUGCAAUGCAUGCUUCCAGCAAGAUGCACAGCCAAAAUCUAUGGUUUGCAUGCCCUGCCUAUUCCGCAUAGGUGGUUGGAGUUCGUUGGUCCCCAGUGGUGACAAAGUACACCGUUUGGUGCCUGAUUAAUCCCCUGGUCAUGAAUGGAGGCCGGGACCUACCAGAAGGAGCAAAGAUGAGUAUCCUAACAUGUCCAGUAAUGUGAUUUCAAUGGCUUAGCGACCUCCAAAAAUAAUUUAAUUCACUGUUAUCUUGCUAUUUUCACAGCUUGUCAGGCAAGACCUCAGACUAAAAGUGUGCCAUGUAACACCUCCGUUGGUGCCAGAGUCUCCCACGAUACUUAGGAAAAGGACACGCCAUCAUGAGGCCUCUGAUAGUGACCUGAGUUAAUUCCCUGAUAACACAGACUAUUUCAUCAACAGUGACAGAGCCCCUCUCAUUCAACACCACCUCAUAAGAUUGCCUGCUGCAGUUGUUCAAGAGAUUUCCAGUUUGCAGUUGAACAUGCAGCAUAGAGAAUACCAGCAAGGGGGCACUGAUCAGCAUCCUGCAGACAUGUCUUCGCUGUGAGCAUUCCUACGAAUGGAACAGUCAGCCACAUGUUGGCAAGUAUCCGGACAUUAACCUUCACAAAUACAGAAGGUAACCCACUUCAUUACUUUGAUACAUUUGAUAACCCAAUUGUGAAACGUAUUUUAUGUAAACUGAUAUUAUUUUCUGCUUCUUAGAUGAAAAUAAUGUCCAGGGCAUAACCUUGCCUGGUGGAACAAGCUUAUUGCUUGUUCACCAUUAUGUUUCACUUCCCAUUUUAUGAUAUUUAUUUAAUUUUAUUUACUUGACCUUUAUUUAACUAGGCAAGUCAGUUAAGAACAAAUUCUUAUUUUCAAUGACUGCCUCGGAACAGUGGGUUAACUGCCUUGUUCAGGGGCAGAACAACAGAUUUUUACCUUGUCAGCUCAGGGAUUUGAUCUUGCAAUCUUUCGGUUACUAGUCCAAAGCUCUAACCACUAGGCUACCCUACUGCCGAUAUCUGAAGUGAAACAGAAAGGUAAACACAACGAUCAGGUUGGUUCCACCAGGCUAAUCAUAACCACCAUUGAUAAUGGUGUGUGUGUGUGUGUGUGUGUGAGUGAGAGACCGACCAGUAUCUAUGAUGAGGGGCCAAGAGCUGAUCUAUGCUGCUAUUGGGGCUCUGGCAAAGUGCUCACCAAAGUAUUCAUAACCCUUGACUUAUUCCACAUUUGUUGUGUUACAGCCUGAAUUCUAAAUGGAUUAAAGAUAUGUUCUUCUCACU